AAAUUUUAACCUUCAACAAAUAGUUAACACACCAACUAGAAAAGAAAGAAUACUAGACUUAAUCUUAGUUAACAAUCCAACAACUGUCAACAAAGUAAACACACUACCACCACUAGGACUAAGUGACCACGACAUCGUCUACAUAGAAACAGACACUUGGCUUCGAAAAGUUAGACAACAUCCCAGAAAAAUACUAAAAUAUGACAAAGCAAACUGGGAAAAUAUAGAAGCAGAUCUACAAAAAACACUAGAAGAGCUUACUAUUAUGAACAAUAACAACAAUAGUACUAUUAAUGAAAUGUGGGAUUUAUUUAAAAACAAUAUCACAAAAUCAAUAGAUACAAACAUCCCACAUAAAAUGUUAACGUAUAAACAUCGACUUCCCUGGGUGCACAACAAACUCAGAAAAAUGAUAAAUAAAAAGAAUAAAUUGUACUCUAAAAUGAAAAAGGACAAAAAGCAUAUAGUAAAAUAUAAAAAACUAAAACAACAAGUUCAACAAGAACAGAGACGUGCAUAUUGUACAUAUAUAGAAAAAAUGAUCCUUGACCUUCCAACAAAUGACCCAGACCUAAGUUACAGCAACCAAUCAAAACCAAAGAAACUCUUUUCCUAUAUUAAAUCAAUCAGAACUGACAAUAGUGGAGUUUCUCCCCUAAAAAAAGAGGGCCAAUUAACAACUGAUACAAAACAAAAAGCCAACAUUUUAAAUGAGCAGUUUCAAUCAGUCUUUACCACUGAAACAACAGAUAAUAUGCCUGAUAAAGGACCAAGUCCCCAUCCAGUCAUACCAUCACUCACAAUUACCACACCUGGCAUACAAAAACUCUUACACAAC
rnacentral:lncRNA from 1 species